rnacentral:rRNA from 1 species
UACGUAGGGCGCAAGCGUUGUCCGGAAUUAUUGGGCGUAAAGAGCUCGUAGGCGGCUUGUCACGUCGAUUGUGAAAGCCCGAGGCUUAACCUCGGGUCUGCAGUCGAUACGGGCUAGCUAGAGUGUGGUAGGGGGAGAUCGGAAUUCCUGGUGUAGCGGUGAAAUGCGCAGAUAUCAGGAGGAACACCGGUGGCGAAGGCGGUUCUCUGGGCAUUACCUGACGCUGAGGAGCGAAAGUGUGGGGAGCGAACAGG